rnacentral:lncRNA from 1 species
CCCAGCCAUUCCAGCCUGUUGCCCAGGGGAUGGUGGAUUCAGCUCAAAUAGUAUCCAUGGUAAAAAAGAAUCCAGACACAGCACAGGUGGAGGGCAGUGUCUGAGGGCCUCAUGGGUCCUGGACCUGACUCCUGCACCUGCACAUGGGACAGGACACCUGGAAUAAGAGGGAACAUCCUGGAAAACUCAUGACUGUGUUGGGGAAAUCAUUUGCAUGGGCCAUAGGAGCCACAAUGAGGCAUCAUCUGUCUCUGAGAAUACAGAAUCUCCAUGUCCAAGGAGGUGAGAGACUGCAGGUGCACAGAAGCCAAAGGUUUCAGGAUCUGGGAGAGGAAUCACAGGAGACCAAGUACAGCAGGACUGGGCAAGAGGACCAAAGCUCUGAUGGUAGACUUUGAAUGAGGAGGACAAGGUGCAGCCUGAUCUUAUGGCCUUUGUCCUUUCUGUUGAUGUGAUGUGUCGCAUUGAUUGAUUUCCAUACGUUGGACCAUCCUUGAAUCACUGGGAUAAACUGCACUUGGUCAUGAUGCAUGAUUUUUUUAAUGUGUUGUUGAAUUGUGUUUGCUAAGUUU